GGAAGCUAGCUCAUUGGAUAGAGCAGGUGGUUUUCAACCAUCCGGUAACGGGUUCGACUCCCGUGCUUUCGCACCA
rnacentral:tRNA from 1 species